UACGUAGGGGGCUAGCGUUGUCCGGAAUCAUUGGGCGUAAAGCGCGUGUAGGCGGUCCGGUAAGUCCGCUGUGAAAGUCGGGGGCUCAACCCUCGAAUGCCGGUGGAUACUGUCGGGCUAGAGUGCGGAAGAGGCGAGUGGAAUUCCUGGUGUAGCGGUGAAAUGCGCAGAUAUCAGGAGGAACACCAAUUGCGAAGGCGGGUCUCUGGGCAGUAACUGACGCUGAGAAGCGAAAGCGUGGGGAGCGAACAGG
rnacentral:rRNA from 1 species